AGUGAACGCUGGCGGUAGGCCUAACACAUGCAAGUCGAACGGCAGCACAGGAGAGCUUGCUCUCUGGGUGGCGAGUGGCGGACGGGUGAGGAAUACAUCGGAAUCUACUCUGUCGUGGGGGAUAACGUAGGGAAACUUACGCUAAUACCGCAUACGACCUACGGGUGAAAGCAGGGGACCUUCGGGCCUUGCGCGAUUGAAUGAGCCGAUGUCGGAUUAGCUAGUUGGCGGGGUAAAGGCCCACCAAGGCGACGAUCCGUAGCUGGUCUGAGAGGAUGAUCAGCCACACUGGAACUGAGACACGGUCCAGACGCCUACGGGAGGCAGCAGUGGGGAAUAUUGGACAAUGGGCGCAAGCCUGAUCCAGCCAUACCGCGUGGGUGAAGAAGGCCUUCGGGUUGUAAAGCCCUUUCGUUGGGAAAGAAAUCCAGCUGGCUAAUACCCGGUUGGGAUGACGGUACCCAAAGAAUAAGCACCGGCUAACUUCGUGCCAGCCGCCGCGGUAA
rnacentral:rRNA from 1 species